CACUUCCUGAGUGAAAUGAAGAGAGCCUCCCUCUCCCCUCCCAUCCUCUCCACCUUCUAUAGAGGGACCAUCGAGAGCCUGCUGACCAGCUGCAUCUCACUCUGGUGUGGGAGCUGUAAGGCUUCAGAUUGGAAGUCUUUGCAGAGAGUG